ACGGUAUCGUGUUGGCUAGGGGGUCAGCGAAGGAGAAAUCGGUCCGGAACCGGGACAACCGGGAAUCGCUUCAGCAGGGGCUGCUGGACACCGCUGCGCUCCGCGACUCCUUUAAGUUGUAGAGGAGACGCGAUUUGAUUGACACCUGCAAUCCUUGCAGGGCCUGCAGUUUAGGUUACAGCUGAUGAGGCCUCUCAAUGGAGAAAACUUGUCAUCAUGUCCUUGAGAUGUCAACAAGCUGUCAAACACAGGUACCAUUAAGCUAAAUAGAACACCACACCAGAAACAGAAGUUACAACUGAAAUAUAUAACAAGAAUUCGGCAACCAGCCAUAUGAGGUGGCACCAAAGUACUGGAACUUGAAGAGUUCCUAUUGCCACAGAAAUCUGCGGAUUUCUUUCUGCAGUUGAACAUCAACAUUUCAUCUUCAGAGACUGCUGUCUCAGUUGAAGUUUGGCAUACGUAUGAAAAGCAGACUAGAUAACUGGAGACGAACACUGCAGAUUUAAGAAGAGGAUUGUGCUCUUGGAGUAGCUGUUUACCCAUAUCUGCAAAGGGUCUAUUCUUUUUCAUGCUUCUGUGACAACACUGGGGAAGAAAGUAUUUUGUGGGCAUUACUAACAAACCAUCUCUGAAGCCCAGUGUCUCCAGACAUGUUAUUGGGAGAGAAACCAGAUCAGACCCAGCUGCCUUGUACAUACCAAACAACUCACUGUUUUGUCUUACUAGAGUCAUGGACAGUUAUUUCCAUCUCAUUCUUCUGGGGGGAAAAAUGCCAGCCUCUUUAAGAAAACUACAGCAAAUGGCUAUUUAUCUGGGGCUAUUAAGUGGUGGGGGAUGUGCUGUGAUGUAUUAUCUUAUGCAAAAAAAUUUUGCCAGGACACAAUAUUAUCAGCUGGCUAUUGAGCAGCUUAAGAAUGACCCUGCAGCCUUGGAGGCACUGGGGGCUCCCCCUCUUAAAGUUCACAGCAUCAGACUGACAGACAAGAGUAAUUGCGUUGACAUGGCCAGAGCACAGUUAAAGAUACCAGUAUCUGGAACGAAAUCAGCUGGAUAUCUCCAUACCAAUUCAGUAAGAGACCUCUCCCUUAACUGGAAGGCCAACCCUGCUGAAGCAUUGGAAGGACUUGAACCUGCCAACCUCCCCCCCCGGAAGAAAAACAACUUCUGGUUAAUUUGUUGUUUGAUGGAGCCAUGGAGGAGCCAGUCCUUCAGGCAGAGUUUUCCUAGAUUUGGGUGAAGAACAAGACCCUCAUCCUAAGAGAAAAGUUCCUGACAGAGAAGGGUGACGGGUGCAAAGCGCCAGGCUGUUCAGGUAAAUUCCGAUACCACUGCUGGAGCUCCAUCUGCAGCUUAGGGCGGUCGAGAAGGAACUGAGGGGGGUCGGGACGCGCGAGCACUAGAUGAAGCGCCAACAGUACCAUGAGACAGCUACUGCACACACACAUCCCAACCAGGCACUGCUACCAAGAACCUCUGAUCAGCACCGGGACACAUCAACACCUGAAGUGGAGCACCACAGGGACAGCUCUCAAAGAAGAACUUAACCAUACUAAAUAGCUCAGUGGAGAAAAAAAUGUUACUCUGUCAAGACUCCACUAAUAGGAGGCUACAGCUUUAGACUGGGAGUCUUCAGCUUUAUUUAAACAGGACCUACUUAAUCUAAAUCACAGGCAUGAUUUAAGUCUGCAUUUUCUCACAGUGGAAUUAGAAAUAUCAGAUAUUUCCACUCAUGUGCAGGGACAGAAACAUUUUGAUAGCUGGUGUGCUAACUGUUGGCAAAAUAUUGGCUAAGUGGCAACUCCUGCAAUGCCAGGAAGAACAGAUACUUCCAACCUCUUUUGAGGUUGUUUUAGAGUUCUAGGAUUUCAAGCAAGUUUCAAAAAAAUUCACCAAGGCAUGCAAAAAAAUGGGCACCAAGGCAUCCAUCCACCAAAGUACUUAAACACAUGGCUAAUUUGACUUCACUGGGGCUACUGUUGUAGUGCUUCUCUGUAUUAUUUUAAACUUCCUUUAAAUGAGUCACUGUUAGAGACCGACAUGUCAAAAGAGGUGGUGCUGAACAAUUCAAUUAGAUUGCAGUAAUCUUCAUGACUAGAUUAUUAUAGGUGAGGCUCCAUAAUGCUGCUAAUAUAGAAGGUUUUCUGACACUUCCCACAGUAAGACUGUUUUCAGUUGCUUACAAAACUUGCCCAAGUUUUAAACCAUUCAGGCUGAAAUUUACCAUGCUAAGCUGGGGCUCUGACAGCGAACCUGGAAGGGGGACAGUAGGACUGGCUAAGCAAGAGGACUGGGAAGAGGAGCCAGAGGAGUGGAAACUGGGACUGGGAGGGGGAGCCUGGGGUGGGGAAGAGAAGGGGCAGAAGAGUCUAUGACCACUUCAGCACAAUCUCCUCCAGUGCCUGGAAUGGAAUCCAAGAUUCCUGGAGUUUCACCAUUCCUCUGCUGUCAGCAAAUAUAUCUGUGAAACCAACUGCAUCUCAAAAUCUAUGUAGUGCUGGUCCAGAUAGAAGAUGGCAAAAUAUUGCUGCUAUCAGUUACUCUGGUAGCUCAAGUGGCAGGGGUCUGUGAAGUGGAUCUAAAGAUUCCACUCUGCUAACUACAUGUGGUGCCAAUAGGAUGCCACAUAAUGGAAUUUCUCCCUCCCUCCUUCUCUACCCCCAGUUUUGUCUUUGUAAAGAUUUAGGAAUUAUACAGAAAACUAGUUAAUAGACCAUUAAGGUUGCAAAAUAAAGCACUCAGAAGUUAGAAAAUGCCUUAAUUAAGGUUGCUUGUGCAAGUCAGACCCCUUGUGCAUAUGCGCUAUGAUACAGUAUUUAGUAACGUGAUUGCAGACUAUUUGCCACAUUUUGUGUGUAAUAUACAUACAAGAGUACUAAAGUACUUUAAGAAAAAUGGCUACUGAACUGCUAAUAAAGAUGUUUUGCAUUAAAGUCAGUUACCGCACUGGAGAGUAACAAAAGUACCUAUCUUAAAGGAACUAGAUGUGAUCUUGGAAAUUACACAUCAGUCAACCUUACUGCAGUAUCAGGUAAGCUGGUUGAAUCAAUUUAGAAAAGAAUGAUAAGACCUCUUGAUAUGGUAGCAACAAAUCAGCAUGACAAAUAAGAAAAUCAUGUCUCUCUAGUCUACAAGGGCAUGUCAAUAAAGUAGUGCAGCAGGAGAAAUGGCUGACAGUGUAUUUGAAUAAAGGUUUUAUAAAGUUUCUAACAAAUUUCUACAGAGGCUUUGGAAAUCAAUCACAGCGUGAGAAGUAAUGUACUGUCACAAAUUAGAAACGGGCAAAAAAAAAGGCUAUACUUCAUACAGUAACUGUAUUUCUUGAUGUGUGGUCCCUCUCAGUAUUCCACUGGGGGUGUGCAUGUGCUCCUCAUGUGUGAGACCAGAAGAUUCUUGCUAGCAGUGUCCUUUGGUCCACAUCUGCACCCUUCUACUCCUCCUGCUCUGAGCCAACAGCAUGAGAGGUGGUGCAGACUGACUACCUCUCCAGCUACCUUUCUGCCAUGAAUAGCAUUAAACGCCCUGCAGCAGAAGGGAAGGAGGGAGGGUAGUUGAAUAGAUAGUGACCACACAUAUUGAUCUCCAGUUACUGUACAAAGUAAGUAACUUCACCUCUCUUAACUCUUCAAGAGAUGGGUUGUGUAUUCCACUAUGAGUCACAAGCAGUAGUCAUUGAGGAGAAGGGUCCAAAGAUCCCUGCUGUACCACUGACUGGAGAACUGCUCUGCCAAAGGAUGUCAGCUAUAGCAGCUUGCACCAGGGCAUGAUGUUUCGCAGAAGCGCGAGCAGAGCUCCGUGUUGCUGCUUUACAGGAGAGGGUCAUCUUAAGUGAGGUUACUGAUGCAGCCUAGGCUCUAGCAGAGUGGGCCUUCACAUCUUGUUGGGGAGGAGUCCAUCAAAAAUAUUUCUGAUGGGAGGCUAAGAUUAGAAGGACUAUGAAGCGUGGCGGGGGGGAAGAGACACAUUAUGUUUCCUACAUUGCACCUUCUAAUGCUUCCUGAGUGACUCCUAACCCUUUUGAAGAUAAAAGGGUUAAGGGGCUGGGUGUUGUUUGUAGAGCUAUGAUUUGUGGAAUUUCUGCUAUGGUGCUCGAGUAUAGAUGCCUAAUGAGCAGAGGGUUACCAUUAAGUCCUUUCAGGAAUGCAGCAACUCAACUGUCUUCUCACUAAAGAAACAGUUUUCCCUCAAAGGGCUGAUCCUCCACCAUGAACUGGACAUCCUUGGGAAAUCUGGAGAAUUAGAGCCACAACAUCCAAUGCACAACCACAGAAGUUGACAUCAAAAACGACAUUAUAUCUGCUGCAUCAACUAAGGCUUGAAGGGAUGAUCUGGCUAGCAAUUUACCCUCAAUGAGUGCUUGGAAUUGCAGCCUAUCUUUUUGUGGGAACUAGUGAAUUCUUCAAACUUAGUAUAAUUAAUAAAAUCAUAUUCUGACAUUAAUGUUUGAUAAUUUGAUAUGCGAAACUGUACACUCAAAGUAAAUAUUUUUCUUCCAAAAAGUUCUAAGUAUUUAGCUUCCUUAUCAGAGGGGAGUAAACACUGUCUACUUCUUUCAGUAACAGCUUGUACUGCUAAUGAAUUCAGAGCAGGGCAUAUAAAUAAAAAUUCUGCCCUUUAGAUGGCAAAGUGCUUCUCCAUUCUUUUGGGAGUGAAGGCACAAGUGGCUGGUGUGUGCCAGAUGGUCUUCGCUGAUUCUAAAAUGGCUUCGUUAACGGGAUCAGUCUCUGGAGAACGCCCAGUAAUUUAAGAGGAAUGUCCUGCAAUCCUCCUCAGUAAAUCUUCAAGUUGCCUGUUACCACUAGGCAGUGAUGGUGAAGCUAGUACAAUCAUCACAUCUGGAGAUGAAUAUGACAAUCCCAUUAGGGCUGGUGGUUCUGCCUGAUCUAGUUCCUCCUCUUCCUCCACUAGUUCUUGAGGAGGUUCGAGAUCUUCUCUGCGAACAAAGCGCUGUUUGGAUUCCCAAUGGGAUCUUCUAGAUUCAAGAUAUUGCAUAUAUGGGUCUGAUAGUAUCCAGUAAGGCCAGUUUGAGAGGUCAAAUGGAAAUUGGGACAGUCACCAUGGAGGAGACUACCACUAGUCUCCAGGUGCACAAUCCCUCUUAUAAAAUCUGGAUGGUGCCUAUGAGACUCUGGAUCCUCUGUCUGGACUGAUCCUUUGUCUCUAUGGGAGUGGUGAUGAUCUCCCACUAAACCUAACUUUUCAGAAGCACUGGCAGUUUUGAAUUCUAUGGAUGAUGCUGGCAGUGUCAGAGGCCUUAUUAUGCCCCAACUGGUAGACUGCACUGGUGAGUGGCUCUCCCUAUCUUGCAUGCUCUGGACCAGUGGUGUAGAGACCUUCCUGGUCAGAACGGAUUCCAACAGAAUUGGGGAUUCCAAAUCCAUAUAAAUGGACAUGUCCUUGUGGGCCUCGUAUGUAUCCCCUGAUGCAAGUGAAUAGACUGGCUUGUCUUUCUGUGGUGUCAGUGGUUUGAUCUCAUUGCUGUCUUCAAUACCAACUCCUUUUCUUGGUGCAUUGGUACCAACAGUGUAGGAGGUAUCUACUUUUGUUAUUCCCUCAUCUGUAUUGGGGACAGUCUAGCUCCUGCACUUAGCUUUGGUUUUGGGGCACUUCUGCCCUUCAGAGCCAAGAGAAUGGUACUGUGCUCCUUAUGAGCUUCUGAAACUCCCUGCAGGGGUGUAGAGUCUGACCUAACUUGGAGGUUGUUGGAGAAUAGGGAUGUAAAUAUUGUUUAAAAGAGUACCCAUUUAAACUAUUAAAAUUAUCAGUUAACUCUUUAAUUGUUAACAAGUUCACAAUCUACCCCUGGUUUGGGGGGGUGGCACCCUGCUGUCUCUCCUUGGAGAACUGUGGGCUGGGGGAGAUCAUUUGCGUGUGCAUGACUGGGCACCUUGCACUGAUCACACCCUCUCCCAGUUACUAGGUGUUACCUACUGUGGUUAGUUUGGCGGAUCGCUGCUGGGAGAGCAGCAGUGUCAGGGAAGAUCCAGUGGUUCCCAGGCAGACCCACCGCUGCAGCCAGCUGCAAGAGAAGCAGAGCCGGAGGGAAGGGGAUGCCAGGCUGCCCCAGCAGUGCCCUCUCUGCCAGGCAUGGGCUGAUCCAGCGGUGCCCCGAGCUGUGGGAACGCUGCAAGCUUCAGUGCCCCCUUCCCCCUGGGUAUUGCUGUGGCAUUUUGAAUGUGCACAUUAGGUAUUACAAUGUCACAAAAUUAUUUUAUCAAUCUUACUCCUGGGGGAAUUCUG